UACGAAGGGGGCUAGCGUUGCUCGGAAUUACUGGGCGUAAAGGGAGCGUAGGCGGACAGUUAAGUCAGUGGUGAAAGCCCAGAGCUCAACUCUGGAAUAGCCUUUGAUACUGAUUGUCUUGAGUAUGGGAGAGGUAUGCGGAAUUCCGAGUGUAGAGGUGAAAUUCGUAGAUAUUCGGAAGAACACCAGUGGCGAAGGCGGCAUACUGGCCCAUUACUGACGCUGAGGCUCGAAAGCGUGGGGAGCAAACAGG
rnacentral:rRNA from 1 species